rnacentral:rRNA from 1 species
UAGUCCACGCCGUAAACGAUGGAUACUAGUUGUUGGGAUUUAUCUCAGUGACUAAGCGAAAGUGAUAAGUAUCCCACCUGGGGAGUACGGUCGCAAGACUGAAACUCAAAGGAAUUGACGGGGGCCCGCACAAGCGGUGGAGCAUGUGGUUUAAUUCGAUGAUACGCGAGGAACCUUACCAGGGCUUAAAUGUAGAUUGACAGGACUAGAGAUAGUUUUUCCUUCGGGCAAUUUACAAGGUGCUGCAUGGUUGUCGUCAGCUCGUGCCGUGAGGUGUCAGGUUAAGUCCUAUAACGAGCGCAACCCCUAUUGUUAGUUGCUAGCAGGUCAAGCUGAGGACUCUAACGAGACUGCCUACGCAAGUAGUGAGGAAGGUGGGGAUGACGUCAAAUCAUCACGGGCCCUUACGUCCUGGGGCCACACACGUGCUACAAUGGGUAUGGGACAAUGAGCAGCCAUCUGACAACAGAGAGCAAAUCUAAUAAACCAUA